rnacentral:lncRNA from 1 species
AUUUGAGGUUGAGGCAUGGAAAAAUACUGAGGCACUGUGUGUAUGUUGUUUGUGCAUGAGACUGUAAUUCCUUGACCCUGAAAACAGGACAAGGAACAGAAUGUGUGAUAAAGAGUGCUGAACACAGCCUCCUAAGAAUGUGGUUUGAGUGCUUUUAGAUGUUAUAAACAAGGCCAUAUGUGCCUCAUGACCCGAAUCCAAAUAGCCACCUGGUGGAUGUUUCUUGUUUGUCUAAAUUGUAGUUCAACAAGCCUUCUCAAUAAAUACUUGGCGGAUGAAUCUUAAAGCAACACUCCAUUGGAGGAGCUGCUCCCUUCCCCGUUCAGCUGUAAUUGUCUGAAUAUUUAUUUCUCGGCAUUCACUGCAGAACAAGCUGCAAGUGGUGACUCGGACGUGAUCAAGUGGUGACUCGGACAUGAUCAAGUGGUGACUCCGACGUGAUUGCCUUGAAGUUAUGCAUGGAGUAGGAUGACUCACCAAUCUUCGGGGAAUACCGGACUAGAGUGGAUCCCCAUAAAAUGAGUGAAGCCAUAAUAUGAGUUAGAGACUACUGAAAAAGCCCCUCCUGAUGAUGAAGGACCUGUCAUUGGAGAAUCGACCAAAACUGACAGUGAUAACUUGGAAGGCACCUGACAUUACCUGGGGACAGCUAAAGAAACUGGACCAACAGGGAACUAUCUGGCUUGCAUCUAUGGGAGCCCCUGAAACUGCAGAGAACCAGUUUCUUAUGUAUCUGAUGGUAAUUGGGGGAGCUUCUGAGAAGGUAAGACAGACAUGGAUGUUGG